GGAUUCAGACUUGCACAGAACUCUUCAUCAUUGUCAUUGGACAGAAAUUCAGCUCCUGUCUGAUCACAAUUAAAAGAGUGAAGAUUAAAAGAGGACUCCAGUGAUGUUACUGCAGCAUCAAAACCUUUUAUUUUCUAGAGAGUACUUAUUUGUAAAAAGUCUUUUUUUAAGUGUCAGUCAGAGCUGACAGAAGCAUUAAUGUAGAGAGAGACACAGUCAUGUUCAGCCCUUUAGUUAUCACAUGAUGGAUUUCUGUUUGAUGUUUCCACUUUGGAAACACACUAAUGAAUCCUCUGUCUGCAUUAAACUCCAUUGUAAACUACUGUCUUUCAACUGUGUCACAAAAUCAAAUCUAUCAAUCUGAAUGUCUUAGCCCCAACAUAUACCACUGAGCUGCUUGUGCAAUAUGAAACUGUGGGGCCUCUGAGAUCUUCUGGAACUGCUUUUUAACACUCUGAAUGUGUAUAUAUCACAGAUCAUUUUAUGGUUAUUUGUUUCAUGUUUACUGUUUGUUAUGAUCUGUUCUUGUCUGAAGUACUGCACCUUACAUUUUGUGUGUUAUGGGUUAUGGUUAGGGUAAGUCUGUUUUCUGUGUGUGUGUGUGUGUGUGUGUGUGUGUGUGUGUGUGUUUUAAAUCCCUCCUGUUAA